UACGAAGGGGGCUAGCGUUGCUCGGAAUCACUGGGCGUAAAGGGUGCGUAGGCGGGUUUUUAAGUCAGGGGUGAAAUCCUGGAGCUCAACUCCAGAACUGCCUUUGAUACUGAAGAUCUUGAGUCCGGGAGAGGUGAGUGGAACUGCGAGUGUAGAGGUGAAAUUCGUAGAUAUUGGGAAGAACACCGGUGGCGAAGGCGGCGACCUGGUCCGAUACUGACGCUGAGGCGCGAAAGCGUGGGGAGCAAACAGG
rnacentral:rRNA from 1 species